UGAGCAAUCUGCCCUUCUCAUCGGAAUAAGCGUUGGAAACGACGUCUAAUGCCGAAUACGACCUCCUUUCGCAUGAUCGGAGGUGGAAAGCUCCGGCGGAGAAGGAUGAGCUCGCGGCCUAUCAGCUUGGUUGGUGGGGUGAUGGCCCACAAGGCGACGACGGGUAGCCGGCCUGGAGAGGGUGACCCGGCCACACUGGGACUGAGACACGGCCCAGACUCCUACGGGAGCAG
rnacentral:rRNA from 1 species